rnacentral:tRNA from 1 species
CAAAUUAGAACUUAGAUAAAGUGUUUUUAUUUACAAUAAAAAAAUUUAUUGUGAAAUUCAAUAUAAUUUGA